rnacentral:rRNA from 1 species
CCCUUAGAUGUUCUGGGCCGCACGCGCGCUACACUGACUACUUCAACGAGUUGUUUCCUUGAUCGAAAGGUCUGGGUAAUCUUUGAAAGGUAGUCGUGAUGGGGAUAGAUCCUUGCAAUUUUUGAUCUUCAACGAGGAAUUCCUAGUAAACGCAAGUCAUCAGCUUGCAUUGAUUACGUCCCUGCCCUUUGUACACACCGCCCGUCGCUACUACCGAUUGAAUGAUUUAGUGAGGACUUCGGACUGGGACCGAUGCGGCUUUCGGGCUGCGUCGGUAUUCUGGAAAGAUGUCCAAACUGUAUCAUUUAGAGGAAGUAAAAGUCGUAACA